AUUGAACGCUGGCGGCAGGCUUAACACAUGCAAGUCGAGCGGGGAUAGGGUGCUUGCACCUGAUUCCUAGCGGCGGACGGGUGAGUAAUGCUUAGGAAUCUGCCUAUUAGUGGGGGACAACAUUCCGAAAGGGAUGCUAAUACCGCAUACGCCCUACGGGGGAAAGCAGGGGAUCUUCGGACCUUGCGCUAAUAGAUGAGCCUAAGUCGGAUUAGCUAGUUGGUGGGGUAAAGGCCUACCAAGGCGACGAUCUGUAGCGGGUCUGAGAGGAUGAUCCGCUACACUGGGACUGAGACACGGCCCAGACUCCUACGGGAGGCAGCAGUGGGGAAUAUUGGACAAUGGGGGAACCCUGAUCCAGCCAUGCCGCGUGUGUGAAGAAGGCCUUUUGGUUGUAAAGCACUUUAAGCGAGGAGGAGGCGCUCUAGGAUAAUACCCUAGAUGCGUGGACGUUACUCGCAGAAUAAGCACCGGCUAACUCUGUGCCAGCCGCCGCUGUAAUAC
rnacentral:rRNA from 1 species